CCGCCCGCCCAGCGCUGAGGUGGACCAGGCCUGCGGCGAGGGCGCGCCCCCAGGCGGGCGUGGGCGCGGGCGCGCGCGUUCCCGGGACUCGGUGUCUGUGGGGUGCCCUUGCGAGGCAGGGCCUGCCACCUCCAGAUCGCUACCUGAGCAUCUUUCCCUGUAGUUACUUGAGUCGGCUCCAUCUUCUCCCCGCCCUUCUCUGUGAGGUGAAGACACGGAGGAGGUAAUUCCUAUUACAGUCCUUGGGGGAUUUUCCAAAACAUUAAUGGAAAGACAGUCUGAUGACAAGAUUCCUCAUGAAGAGAAGGAAGACUGUCCAUAAAAUAUGCCAUGAGCAAAGACAAGGAAACAAGACUGUAGAUGCAUUCUGUGGUUCCAGGAAUUCAGAAGCAUAGUCUCAGCCCUCCUGUGUCUGACUGAGAGACACAUAUUGAAAUCAUCACAAUACAAGGUGUCAAUCAAGUUAAAAUUAAAAGAAGAAAGAGAGAAGAGGUAGAAAGAGAGAGAAGAGAGACGAGAGAGAAGAAAACUGGUUGCUUUAGGUUAUGUGCUCAACUGUUGGCUAUGGAAAGAUGGCAUUUUGAUAUUUUCACCAAGAUUGCACAUAAUAGACAAGGCUGCCCACUCUCACCACUAUUAUUCAACAUAGAUUUGGAAGUUUUACCCAUAGCAAUCAGAGAAGAAAAAGAAAUAAAAAGAAUCCAGGGCCUCCCUGGUGGCGCAGUGGUUGAGAGUCCGCCUGCCGAUGCAGGGUCACGGGUUCGUGCCCCGGUCUGGGAAGAUCCCAUAUGCCAUGGAGCGGCUAGGCCCAUGAGCCAUGGCCACUGAGCCUGUGCGUCCGGAGCCUGUGCUCCUCAACGAGAGAGGCCACAACAGUGAGAGACCCGCAUACUGCAAAAAAAAAAAAAAAAAGAAUCCAACUCAGAAAAGAAGAAGUAAAGCUGUCAUUGUUUGCAGAUGACAUGAUAUUAUACAUACAGAAUCCUAAAGAUGCUAGCAGAAAACUAUUAGAGCUAAUCAAUGAAUUUGGUAAAGUAGCAGGAUACAAAAUUAAUGCACAGAAAUCUCUUGCAUUCCUAUACACUAAUGAUGAAAAAUCUGAAAGUGAAAUUAAGAAAACACUCACAUUUACCAUUGCAACCAAAAGAAUAAAAUAUCCAGGAAUAAACCUACCUAAGGAGACAAAAGACCUGUAUGCAGAAAAUUAUAAGACACUGAUGAAAGAAAUUAAAGAUGAUACAAAUAGAUGGAGAGAUAUAACAUGUUCUUGGAUUGGAAGAAUCAACAUUGUAAAAAUGACUCUACUACCCAAGGCAAUCUACAGAUUCAAUGCAAUCCCUAUCAAACUACCACUGGCAUUUUUCAAAGAAUUAGAACAAAAAAUUCACAAUUUGUAUGGAAACACAAAGACCCCAAAGAGCCAAAGCAAUCUUGAGAAAGAAAAAUGGAGCUGGAGGAAUCAGGCUCCCUGACUUCAGACUAUACUACAAAGCUACAGUAAUCAAGACAGUAUGGUACUGGCACAAAAACAGAAAUAUAGAUCAAUGGAACAGGAUAGAAAGCCCAGAGAUAAACCCACACACAUAUGGUCACCUUAUCUUUGAUACAGGAGGCAAGAAUAUAGAGUGGAGAAAAGACAGCCUCUUCAAAAAGUGGUGCUGGGAAAACUGGACAGCUACGUGUAAAAGAAUGAAAUUAAAACACUCCCUAACACCAUACACAAAAAUUAACUCAAAAUGGAUUAAAGACCUAAAUGUAAGGCCAGACACUAUUAAACUCUUAGAGGAAAACAUAGGCAGAACACUCUAUGACAUAAAUCACAGCAAGAUCCUUUCUGACCCACCUUCUAGAGAAAUGGAAAUAAAAGCAAACAUAAACAAAUGGGACAUAAUGAAACUUAAAAGCUUUUGCACAGCAAAGGAAACCAUAAACAAGACGAAAAGACAGCCCUCAGAAUGUGAGAAAAUAUUUGCAAAUGAAGCAAGUGAUGAAGGAUUACUCUCCAAAAUAUACAAGCAGCUCAUGCAGCUCAAUAUCAAAAAAAACCAAACAACCCAAUCCAAAAAUGGACAGAAGACCUAAAUAGACAUUUCUCCAAAGAAGAUAUACAGAUUGCCAACAAACACAUGAAAGAAUGCUCAACAUCAUUAAUCAUUAGAGAAAUGUAAAUCAAAACUACAACGAGGUAUCAUCUCACACCAGUCAGAAUGGCCAACAUCAAAAAAUCUACAAACAAUAAAUGCUGGAGAGGGUGUAGAGAAAAGAGAACCCUCUUGCACUGUUGGUGGGAAUGUAAAUUGAUACAGCCACUAUGGAGAACAGUAUGGAGGUUCCUUAAAAAAAACUGAAAAUAGAACUACCAUAUGACCCAGCAAUCCCACUAUUGGGCAUAUACCUUGAGAAAGCCAUAAUUCAAAAAGAGUCAUGUACCAAAAUGUUCAUUGCAGCUCUAUUUACAAUAGCCAGGGCAUGGAAGCAACCUAAGUGUCCAUCAACAGAUGAAUGGAUAAAGAAGAUGUGGUGCAUAUAUACAAUGGAAUAUUACUCAGCCAUAAAAAGAAAAGAUAUUGAGUUAUUUGUAGUGAGGUGGAUGGACCUAGAGUCUGUCAUACAGAGAGAAGUAUGUCAGAAAGAGAAAGACAAAUACCGUAUGCUAACACAUAUGUAUGGAACCUAAAAAAAACAAAAAACGGUCAUGAAGAACCUAGGGGAAAGACGAGAAUAAAGACACAGACCUUCUAGAGAAUGGACUUGAGGAUACAGGGAGGGGGAAGGGUAAGCUGGGACAAAGCGAGAGAGAGGCAUGGACAUAUAUACACUACCAAACGUAAAAUAGAUAGCUAGUGGGAAGCAGCCGCAUAGCACAGGGAGGGCAGCUCGGUGCUUUGUGACCACCUA